rnacentral:rRNA from 1 species
GGGUUGUGAGGUUAAGCGACUAAGCGUACACGGUGGAUGCCCUGGCAGUCAGAGGCGAUGAAGGGCGUGCUAAUCUGCGAUAAGCGCCGGUAAGGUGAUAUGAACCGUUAUAACCGGCGAUACCCGAAUGGGGAAACCCAGUGUGACUCGUCACACUAUCAUUAACUGAAUCCAUAGGUUAAUGAGGCGAACCGGGGGAACUGAAACAUCUAAGUACCCCGAGGAAAAGAAAUCAACCGAGAUUCCCCCAGUAGCGGCGAGCGAACGGGGAGGAGCCCAGAGCCUGAAUCAGCAUGUGUGUUAGUGGAAGCGUCUGGAAAGGCGCGCGAUACAGGGUGACAGCCCCGUACACAAAAGCGCAUGUGCUGUGAGCUCGAUGAGUAGGGCGGGACACGUGGUAUCCUGUCUGAAUAUGGGGGGACCAUCCUCCAAGGCUAAAUACUCCUGACUGACCGAUAGUGAACCAGUACCGUGAGGGAAAGGCGAAAAGAACCCCGGCGAGGGGAGUGAAAAAGAACCUGAAACCGUGUACGUACAAGCAGUGGGAGCACAGGUUUACCUGUGUGACUGCGUACCUUUUGUAUAAUGGGUCAGCGACUUAUAUUCUGUAGCAAGGUUAACCGUAUAGGGGAGCCGGAGGGAAACCGAGUCUUAAUUGGGCGUUAAGUUGCAGGGUAUAGACCCGAAACC